rnacentral:rRNA from 1 species
UACGAAGGGUGCAAGCGUUACUCGGAAUUACUGGGCGUAAAGGGUGCGUAGGUGGUUUUUUAAGUCCGUUGUGAAAUCCCUGGGCUCAACCUGGGAAUGGCAGUGGAUACUGGAAAGCUAGAGUGCGGUAGAGGGUAGUGGAAUUCCCGGUGUAGCAGUGAAAUGCGUAGAGAUCGGGAGGAACACCAGUGGCGAAGGCGGCUACCUGGACCAGCACUGACACUGAUGCACGAAAGCUGGGGGAGCAAACAGG